rnacentral:rRNA from 1 species
AAUUUUGGACAAUGGGCGCAAGCCUGAUCCAGCCCAGCCGCGUGAGUGAAGAAGGCCUUCGGGUUGUAAAGCCCUUUCGGACGGCAAGAAAUCGCGCACGCUCAUACCCUGCGCGGAUGACUGUACCCUCAUACGAAGCACCGUCUCACUACGUCCCAGCCUCCGUGGUAAUACGUAGGGGGCGAGCGUUAAUCGGAAUUACUGGGCGUAAAGCGUGCGAAGGCGGUUGAUUAAGACAGGCGUGAAAUCCCCGGGCUUAACCUGGGAACUGCGCGUGUGACUGGUCAGCUAGAGUACGGCAGAGGGGGGUGGAAUUCCACGUGUAGCAGUGAAAUGCGUAGAGAUGUGGAGGAACACCGAUGGCGAAGGCAGCCCCCUGGGCCGAUACUGACGCUCAUGCACGAAAGCGUGGGUAGCAAACAGG